rnacentral:lncRNA from 1 species
ACCUAUACUGCAGCCCACAGACUAUGCAGUAUGCAGGAUUGCCUUAAUAAUUUCAUAAAGUUCUCUGGAAGAAGACUGGUCAGGCAUCUUUGGAGCAAUGUUGACAAUGUCAUCAAAGGUACUAAUCAGCUGUUGUCUGGGAAGAAGAGAGAAUAGGGUGCAAACUUCUACCAGCCAAAGGAGGAGAGAAGAAUUAAGUGAAAGCAGGCUGGCCACAAGGAGGAAGGAAGAUAAAGUUCUUGAGAACUCAACAGAAAAUCGAAGGCCUAAUUCUAAAUGUUUGGGAGCAUGGGUGGGAGGGAUCCAGAUUAAGUUAAUGUAGAGCAAUGCUUCCCAGGUAUUAAGCGUUAAAUCAGUCUUGAUUUCUCUGUCAUUAUUGAAGACUAGCAUAGACAUAGAGGACAUUGAAUAAUGAGAGUCGGAGAUCCACAUGCCAUGCUGAUCAUCUUGAUGUAUGUGAAG